GAUGAACGCUGGCGGCGUGCCUAAUACAUGCAAGUCGAGCGAACAGAUGAGGAGCUUGCUCCUCUGACGUUAGCGGCGGACGGGUGAGUAACACGUGGAUAACCUACCUAUAAGACUGGGAUAACUUCGGGAAACCGGAGCUAAUACCGGAUAAUAUAUUGAACCGCAUGGUUCAAUAGUGAAAGACGGUUUUGCUGUCACUUAUAGAUGGAUCCGCGCCGCAUUAGCUAGUUGGUAAGGUAACGGCUUACCAAGGCAACGAUGCGUAGCCGACCUGAGAGGGUGAUCGGCCACACUGGAGCUGGGACACGGUCCAGACUCCUACGGGAGGCAGCAGUAGGGAAUCUUCCGCAAUGGGCGAAAGCCUGACGGAGCAACGCCGCGUGAGUGAUGAAGGUCUUCGGAUCGUAAAACUCUGUUAUUAGGGAAGAACAAAUGUGUAAGUAACUAUGCACGUCUUGACGGUACCUAAUCAGAAAGCCACGGCUAACUACGUG
rnacentral:rRNA from 1 species